rnacentral:rRNA from 1 species
UACGUAGGGUGCAAGCGUUGUCCGGAAUUAUUGGGCGUAAAGAGCUCGUAGGCGGUUUGUCACGUCUGCUGUGAAAUCCCGAGGCUCAACCUCGGGCUUGCAGUGGGUACGGGCAGACUAGAGUGCGGUAGGGGAGAAUGGAAUUCCUGGUGUAGCGGUGGAAUGCGCAGAUAUCAGGAGGAACACCGGUGGCGAAGGCGGGUCUCUGGGCAGUAACUGACGCUGAGGAGCGAAAGCGUGGGGAGCGAACAGG